UUCCAAAGUGUUGAGUUCAGUCCAGGGUGGUGUCCCUGGUCUGGUAAUUGAGCUUUGGAACACUGAAACAGGCCAGGGGAAACGACUGGAUAGAGGGCAUGUCUCUGUUCAUUCACCUCCCGGCCGACAGAA